rnacentral:rRNA from 1 species
GAUGAACGCUGGCGGCGUGCCUAAUACAUGCAAGUCGAGCGAACAGACGAGGAGCUUGCUCCUCUGACGUUAGCGGCGGACGGGUGAGUAACACGUGGAUAACCUACCUAUAAGACUGGGAUAACUUCGGGAAACCGGAGCUAAUACCGGAUAAUAUAUUGAACCGCAUGGUUCAAUAGUUAAAGACGGUUUUGCUGUCACUUAUAGAUGGAUCCGCGCCGCAUUAGCUAGUUGGUAAGGUAACGGCUUACCAAGGCAACGAUGCGUAGCCGACCUGAGAGGGUGAUCGGCCACACUGGAACUGAGACACGUUCCAGACUCCUACGGGAGGCAGCAGUAGGGAAUCUUCCGCAAUGGGCGAAAGCCUGACGGAGCAACGCCGCGUGAGUGAUGAAGGUCUUCGGAUCGUAAAACUCUGUUAUUAGGGAAGAACAAAUGUGUAAGUAACUAUGCACGUCUUGACGGUACCUAAUCAGAAAGCCACGGCUAACUACGUG